UUUUUUUUUUUUUUUUUUUUUUUUUUUUCCA
rnacentral:ribozyme from 1 species